rnacentral:rRNA from 1 species
UACGUAGGGUGCAAGCGUUGUCCGGAAUUAUUGGGCGUAAAGAGCUCGUAGGCGGUCUGUCGCGUCGGGUGUGAAAAUCCAGGGCUUAACCCUGGACCUGCAUUCGAUACGGGCAGACUAGAGUUCGGUAGGGGAGACUGGAAUUCCUGGUGUAGCGGUGAAAUGCGCAGAUAUCAGGAGGAACACCGGUGGCGAAGGCGGGUCUCUGGGCCGAUACUGACGCUGAGGAGCGAAAGCAUGGGGAGCAAACGGG